rnacentral:lncRNA from 1 species
UUCCUUUCAGGACAAAGCAGAACUUUUUUUUCUUUUUUGCACAGCUCAAUUAAACAUCCCCUAGGCAAGAGUGGUUCAGAUUAUUACCAUUAAAUGUAUCAUGCUGUAUGACUGGUUGUACAGGCAUAAUAACUUUUAGAUUUAUGCUCCAUACAGUGUUACUGAAUUUCACAAUACUUUGCUCUACAGUGAAGCUCAGAGCAUCCAAGCAACAUUCUCUUCACCUUUCCUGAAGACUUGGAUUUUGGGAAGCCCCAUGCUGGCCUGACACUUCUCACACAAAUCUCCAUUUCAUUUCCACUACACCUUUGUUCUUUCCCUAUGGGUAAAGAUGACAUCAUAAAGCUAACAUGGGCUAUGCUGCCAGAACUGACUACUUUUUGCUCUUUUAGCUUUUUUCUGUUUAUUUUGUCACUUACUCAUUUCGAGCAAAACUGUCUUUAAAACACCAAGAAAUGAUUCCUUUCCAACCCAGUCUUUAUUAUCAACCGAUCAGGCAGGAUUGUCUUAAAUAUCCCAUGCAUUCAGUUGGCUGGAUUGCUUUACUUAGAGCAUAAAUCUUAACACAUCAAUGCCUUAACAUAUAUGGGGCCUUGUUAGCCACAAUGCAUGUAGACGGAUUAACAGAACCUUGGCUACUUUGUCCUAUUUUCAAGCAUAAAUAGCAUGUUAGUAAAAGAAUAUGCAACCAAAUCACAAGAUAAGGUAUUUGCUCAAGAGUCAUGAUGUUGUCACCAGCUUAUUUGGAUAGAAUAUUAGCCCUGUCCUUAAACCAUAACUUCGUUAUCUUUUCACGUUCUAGUGUAUUGGCUUUGACACAGGGACAUUUGUCUUCUUUGACUUUAUUUACCCAUGGCUACAUGGAAAGUGGUUUGGACCAUAUCUCCCUUAGCCUUCCACACUUCCGUUUGCUACAGAAGAUUAAGUAAGGCUUUUCCAAUGGUUCAAUAACACACAGUAGCUUGGACAUUAUGUGAGGGCUCCUUGAAUUAUUGAACUAUUGCCAUGUGGAAAAUUUUCCCCUGCUACAUGUUCAGUGUUUGUACAGAAGGGUAUCGUGGCACAGCUAGGAACAGCUUAGGAAGCAGUGAAUCAACACUAUGCAACUAGUUUCCAGUGACACACGCCAUUGUCUUUCAAAGAAGGGCUGGCUCUCUGCAGCACCUUCUGUGGAUUUAGAUCUUCAUUGCUGAGUGAAUACUACAGGCAUGUGCUGAAGAGAGGGGAAUGAAGACUCCGUGGGGGUCACAGAACACCACAGAGAAGUUGAGCAAAUGAAUGACAAAUUAAAAUGGAAGGAAAGGGGAUUUCAUAUCAAAACCCAGGGAUUAUCUAUUCAGAUAAAACUACGUGACCAUGCAGCCAUGGCACAUCUCACAUAAGAUAGUGUUCUGAGUGGAACUGUACCUGCAUUUCAAAAGGUGAUUUCCAUUCUUUAAAGCUUCAUCUUAUCAGCUUAUGGAGGUUCUAGUUGAACUCCAUAUGAUCUCUCGGGCAUCUUUUUCUGGCCCCUUUCCCCUUUCUGAGUUUUCCUCUUGCAGUUUCUUGUAAUUAUUUGGGGUGUCAAGGUCUACCCUUUCAUUACUGCCAGAACUUGUCCUUGGCAUGUGAAGUUAGCUUUUGAUGUUGGUGUCCUUGAUGAAAGGAAAACAACCUUUCCUGGCAUUUCCUUUCCUCUCCUCUGAUCUGUAUUUCCAGCCCACAGAGGUCAGUGCACACGACCGCCCAUUCCAGCUUUGAAUGCAACUUCAAGACACAAUCCACGCUCUGUGUGAGGGCUUUAAUACAACCAACAUCAAUGUCUGCCAACCACAGCUACACUUGACACUGCUCACACUUCUAAUGUAGUAAGCCUAUUAAUUCUCAAAUCUGCUGAAUGUGCACACGGCCACCAAUUUGUCUAAAUUUGGGAGACAGUAUCUAAUGAAGAACCACCAAAUGCAUAAAAUAACCCCCAUUUUGUACGAAAAAAUUGGAAUCUGUUUUCUCCUCCUAACAUAUUCCAUUAAAACAACCACCAUAGGAUCCUAUCACUUACCCAUUUGUGCUACAUGAUAUCACUGUGCCUACACAAAGAUUUUAGAAAAUCUCAAUCUCUCUCUCUCUCUCUCUCUCUCUCUCUCCCUCUCUCUCUCUCUCUUAGGGCCAAUGAUCCAUCUUCAUAAAGGAACAGUUACAUAUUAUAAAAUAUGUAGUAUUUCAUAUAUAGUAAAGUAUGAUAAUACAUUAAUUCCCUUUAGCUGAGCCUUCCUGAUGAGUUUUCUUGCUUAAUUUUAAUCCAAGUGGAGUUUUGUGAUAUGAGUUUGUGACCAAAUGUUUUCAAUAGUAGUAUUUUUAAAAGAACAAGAUGACUUUGGCCUAGAAGAUUCAAAGAUACACAUUUAAAAGCUAGCUAUAUUUUUGUGAAAAUAAAACAAAACCUUAUAAUUUGCCUACUAAUUACGUUUCC